AUGAAAACACAAACGCAAUCAAGUUGGGUGGUGCAUGCAUGUGUUGUUAGGUGUUUUUCCGGUAGCUGCCGGUGCCGGAUCCAUCCAUGGCUGAUGCCUGAGUGUCAUUCGGCGCCGGAAGGCCGGUCCACUCCUCCCCAUGCAUGGUCCAUUUCAUCAAAGCAGAUUACAACAACAAGCUGCCCAAACAGUUGCUCCUACAGUAGUAGCCUAGCCUCUUCCUCUUCCUCUUCUUCCUCCUCUCUGAAUCAUAAAAGAAUCGCAAAAGCGAAGCUUCCUCCACUUCCUCCAUCUCUUCAUUUGCAUUUGCAUACAUCAUAUACGAGCUUUCUUUACUCACACCACUAG
rnacentral:rRNA from 1 species